AACGAACGCUGGCGGCAGGCUUAACACAUGCAAGUCGAACGCUCGUAGCAAUACGAGAGUGGCAGACGGGUGAGUAACGCGUGGGAAUCUACCCAAAGGUACGGAACAACUCAGGGAAACUUGAGCUAAUACCGUAUGUGCCCGAGAGGGCAAAGAUUUAUCGCCUUUGGAUGAGCCCGCGUUGGAUUAGCUAGUUGGUGGGAACGGCCGUACCAAGGCGACGAUCCAUAGCUGANCUGAGAGGAUGAUCAGCCACACUGGGACUGAGACACGGCCCAGACUCCUACGGGAGGCAGCAGUGGGGAAUCUUGGACAAUGGAGGAAACUCUGAUCCAGCCAUGCCGCGUGAGUGAUGAA
rnacentral:rRNA from 1 species